CCAAGCUACAAAGAGCCAAUGGUGAAUGCCUUGGCGCCUACUACCGAUGAAGGACGCGGGAGGCUGCGAAAAGCCACGGUUAGCUGCCGACCAAGCUAUGACCCGUGGAUGUCCGAAUGGGGAAACCCGUCACCCGUAAUGGGGUGUCACUCCCGCCUGAACACAUAGGGCGGGUAGAGGGAACCGGGGGAAUUGAAACAUCUCAGUACCCCGAGGAAAAGAAUGCAACUGCGACUCCCUUAGUAGCGGCGAGCGAAACGGGAAGAGCCUAAACCUGGCAGGUGCCAAGCCUAGCGGCGUUGCCUGUCAGGGGUUGUGGGAGCAAGUGGUCCGGGCGCUAGACCGGACACGGAGUUACAAACCUGCCGUGUAGUGGAAGCACUCUGGAAAGGUGCGCCAAAGAGGGUAAUGGCCCCGUACACGAAACAUGAGCAGGCUCCGACUUGAUUUCCCGAGUAGCGCCGGUUCCGUGAAGGCCGGCGUGAAUCUGCGAGGACCACCUCGUAAGGCUAAGUAUACGUAGGCGACCGAUAGUGAACUAGUACCGUGAGGGAAAGGUGAAAAGUACCCCGGGAGGGGAGUGAAACAGUACCUGAAACCAUUGGUUUACAAGCAGUUGGAGCGGCUUUAUGCCGCGACAGCGUGCCUUUUGAAGAAUGAGCCAGCGAGUUACGGUGUGUGGCAAGGUUAACCAGUGAUGGGAAGCCGAAGCGAAAGCGAGUCUGAAUAGGGCGCAUAGUCGCAUGCUGUAGACCCGAAGCCGGGUGAUCUAUCCAUGGGCAGGGUGAAGCGAAGGUAAGACUUCGUGGAGGCCCGAACCGACCUAGGUUGAAAACUGGGCGGAUGACCUGUGGAUAGGGGUGAAAGGCCAAUCAAACCCGGUGAUAUCUGGUUCUCCCCGAAAUGCAUUUUGGUGCAGCGUCACGCGUUCAGCUACGGAGGUAGAGCACUGGAUGGGCUAGGGGGCCUACAAGCUUACCGAACCCAACCAAACUCCGAAUGCCGUAGCUCCAGAGCGUGGCAGUGAGACCGCGGGGGAUGAGCUUCGUGGUCGAGAGGGAAACAGCCCAGAACGCCGGCUAAGGCCCCUAAGUAUGGAUUAAGUGGCAAACGAUGUGGGACUGCCCAGACAGCCAGGAGGUUGGCUUAGAAGCAGCCACCCUUGAAAGAGUGCGUAACAGCUCACUGGUCGAGUGGUCCUGCGCGGAAAAUGUAACGGGGCUCAAAUCCAUCGCCGAAGCCGCGUCUUUGAAUACUCUUCGGAGUGUUCGAGGGGUAGGGGAGCGUCGAUCGUGCGGAGAAGCAGGCGUGGAAACGUCUGUGGAGCGCGGUCGAGUGAGAAUGCUGGCAUGAGUAGCGAGAGAGGGGUGAGAAUCCCCUCCGCCGAAAGCCCAAGGGUUCCUGGGGAAGGCUCGUCCACCCAGGGUUAGUCGGGAGCUAAGGCGAGGCCGAAAGGCGUAGUCGAUGCACAACUGGUUGAUAUUCCAGUACCACCAUGUGCGCGCCCAUUCCAAUCCAAGGUUGCUAAGGGGCUGUACUCCCUUCGGGGAGAUACGAACCGACCCACCUUGGGGCGGGAAGCAAUGCGGGGACGCAGGAAGGUAGAUGAACCCAGGCGAUGGUUGUCCUGGGGUAAGCGAGUAGGACGGGGACUAGGUAAGUCCGGGCCCCAUCAAGUCUGAGACGCGAUACCGAGCCGAUACAGGCGAAGUCAUUGAUCCUAUGCUGCCAAGAAAAGCCGCUAGCUAGUUCACAUGGUGCCCGUACCCCAAACCAACACAGGUGGGCAGGUAGAGAAUACCAAGGCGAUCGGGAGAACUGCGGUUAAGGAACUCGGCAAAUUGCAUCCGUAACUUCGGGAGAAGGAUGACCCCCUCUGGUGACGGCCCUAGCGGUCCGAGCUGGCGGGGGUGGCACAGACCAGGGGAAAGCGACUGUUUACUAAAAACACAGCAGCGUGCGAAGACGAAAGUCCAUGUAUACGCUGUGACGCCUGCCCGGUGCCGGAAGGUUACGGGGAAGGGUUAGCCCUAGGGCGAAGCUCUGAACCUAAGCCCCGGUAAACGGCGGCCGUAACUAUAACGGUCCUAAGGUAGCGAAAUUCCUUGUCGGGUAAGUUCCGACCUGCACGAAUGGCGUAACGACUUUCCCACUGUCUCAACCGCAGACCCGGCGAAAUUGAAGUACGAGUAAAGAUGCUCGUUAGCUACAGAAGGACGGAAAGACCCCGUGGACCUUUACUACAGCUUGAUGUUGGGUUUUGGUAUGGGUUGUGUAGGAUAGGUGGGAGACUAGGAAGCGUGGACGCCAGUCUGCGUGGAGUCGCCCUUGAAAUACCACCCUGCCCAUGCCGGAGCUCUAACCUAGGCCCGUGAUCCGGGUCGGGAACAGCGUCAGGUGGGUAGUUUGACUGGGGCGGUCGCCUCCUAAACAGUAACGGAGGCGCCCAAAGGUUCCCUCAGCCUGGUUGGCAAUCAGGCGUCGAGUGCAAUGGCACAAGGGAGCUUGACUGUGAGACUUACAGGUCGAGCAGGUGCGAAAGCAGGGCAUAGUGAUCCGGCGGUUGCGUGUGGAAGCGCCGUCGCUCAACGGAUAAAAGGUACCCCGGGGAUAACAGGCUCAUCUUCCCCAAGAGUCCAUAUCGACGGGAAGGUUUGGCACCUCGAUGUCGGCUCAUCGCAUCCUGGGGCUGAAGCAGGUCCCAAGGGUUGGGCUGUUCGCCCAUUAAAGCGGUACGCGAGCUGGGUUUAGAACGUCGUGAGACAGUUCGGUCCCUAUCCUCUGUAGCCGAAGCAGAUUUGAGGAAAGCUGUCCCUAGUACGAGAGGACCGGGAUGGACGCAGCUCUCGUGUGCCAGUUGUUCCGCCAGGAGCAUGGCUGGUUAGCGACCUGCGGAAGGGAUAACCGCUGAAAGCAUCUAAGCGGGAAGCCUGUUCCAAGAUUAGAUCUGCCACUGGGAUAACCAGGUAAGGCCUGUGGUAGACCACCACGUUGAUAGGCCGGAUGUGUAAGCGCAGCAAUGCGUUCAGCAGACCGGUACUAAUCGGCCGAGGGCUUGGGUUUCACUG
rnacentral:rRNA from 1 species